UACAAGCGGUGAUGAUGAUGAUGACAUUCUGUCACAGCCCUGAAAUCUACAUGUGGGUCUUUCAGUCACUACCUCAUCUGAGCUUGUG